GUGGGGAAUAUUGGACAAUGGGCGCAAGCCUGAUCCAGCCAUGCCGCGUGAGUGAUGAAGGCCCUAGGGUUGUAAAGCUCUUUCACCGGUGAAGAUAAUGACGGUAACCGGAGAAGAAGCCCCGGCUAACUUCGUGCCAGCAGCCGCGGUAAUACGAAGGGGGCUAGCGUUGUUCGGAUUUACUGGGCGUAAAGCGCACGUAGGCGGACUUUUAAGUCAGGGGUGAAAUCCCGGGGCUCAACCCCGGAACUGCCUUUGAUACUGGAAGUCUUGAGUAUGGAAGAGGUAAGUGGAAUUGCGAGUGUAGAGGUGAAAUUCGUAGAUAUUCGCAGGAACACCAGUGGCGAAGGCGGCUUACUGGUCCAUUACUGACGCUGAGGUGCGAAAGCGUGGGGAGCAAACAGGAUUAGAUACCCUAGUAGUCC
rnacentral:rRNA from 1 species